UUUAUGACCUCUUCCACACAAGACUACCCGCUGAACUUAAGCAUAUCAAUAAGCGGAGGAAAAGAAACCAAC
rnacentral:rRNA from 1 species